UGCCAGUCAGCGGGUGGGGUGUGGCGGGCACAGGAGGUGAGCCUGCCAGUCAGCGGGUGGGGUGUGGCGGCACAGGAGGUGGGCAGGCCAAUACAAAGGAGGCCAUGUGUGGGAAGCUGGGGACUUGGACAUUUUAUCAGAAGUCAGUGUCAUGCGGUUGAGGAUCUUACACAAAGCCCUGACAAUCAGCAUGUUUCAUGAAGCCCCACCGGGCUUGUGUUCAGCCUGCACUGGAGCAGGGGAGGCACUAGAGAUUGGCCUUUCCCAGGUCCACUCCUUGCCCCGGGCAGGCUGGGGGAGCAGGCCAGGUGGACCUCACAGUGACUGCACCGCCUGCCACCAUCCCCUGGCAACCUGUCCAUGCACAUCUCCCCUCACAAGUCAUUUUAAAAGUUCAUUUGUCAAAGCUCAGGACAGACUAACCAGGCAAACCAGCAAAAGGAGAAUGAGACACAGGAUGUAACAGCGCCUGCACCCCUACCACGGGCUUUCCUGCUCCCUGCAGGAAACCAGAGUCGGGAGCUGGGCCAUAUGCCAAGAGGUUGGGGAAAGGGACCCAAGAUGGGCCCAGCUGUGUGAGAGGAGCAGCCGAGGCCACCCCUCUGCCUGGUGGGGCUUCUGCUGUUGUCCUCCUGUCCUGGGCACUGGGCACCGGGCACCACACCAAGUAUUUCCUACUUUCUUUCCCUGUUUCUUACCCAUGUAAAAACUGUACUGCUUGGAUUAUUUAGAUUUCCAAAUCUCAGAACAGCUAUCAGGACACUAAAUAAUGGGGCAAGUCAGCGGGGUACUGAUCUUGGAACCCCAGCACUCAGCUCUCACACUGGCAUAGAAACGUACUCCAACAAGGCGUGACUGAGUCUCAACAAUGGGUGCCACUAUUAGUUUGCUCUUAAUGGUGGCUUGGGUGUCUCUGAUGAAGGAUCCUCUCUGUGCUCUCUGCCCAAGGUGUAAUAGACAUUGUAGGCAUGCCCCAAUUGUUAGGCAAAUCUGUUUAGAAGAAGCCUGUUCAUCCCCAUUUCUGAUGGGAAGAGACGAAAUGUAAUGAGACUAGUCUGUGUGUACGCACAUGACCCAUGCCGAGGCUAAGGGAAAUGAAUCACAACUACAGAAUCACACGCUGUUGACAUGGUGCCUUUCACAGGAUUCAGAAUUUAAGGGUUAGGAACGUCUCGUAGACACAACAAUUUGGGAACUCAAGAUCAUUAAAUAAAGAAGCAGAAACCAAGUGU